rnacentral:snRNA from 1 species
AGCUUUGAGCAGUGGCAAUAUCUUAGCCAAUGAGGUUUACACGAGGCGUGAUUAUUGCUAAUUGAAAAACUUAGAAUAGUCAACAGCAGGUUAAUUUGGUUGAUUUCUUCUUUGUGUGUCUUUCAAGCCCUUUAAUUUCACAAGA